UACGUAGGGGGCAAGCGUUGUCCGGAAUCAUUGGGCGUAAAGCGCGUGUAGGCGGCCCGAUAAGUCCGUUGUGAAAGUCAAAGGCUCAACCUUUGAAAGCCGAUGGAUACUGCCGGGCUGGAGUCCGGAAGAGGCGAGUGGAAUUCCUGGUGUAGCGGUGGAAUGCGCAGAUAUCAGGAGGAACACCAAUAGCGAAGGCAGCUCGCUGGGACGGUACUGACGCUGAGGCGCGAAAGCGUGGGGAGCGAACAGG
rnacentral:rRNA from 1 species